rnacentral:rRNA from 1 species
CCCGUAGGGGGCGAGCGUUGUCCGGAUUUAUUGGGCGUAAAGAGCUCGUAGGCGGCUCAGUACGUCAGGUGUGAAAACUCCAGGCUCAACCUGGAGACGCCACCUGAUACUGCUGUGGCUAGAGUCCGGUAGGGGAGCAUGGAAUUCCUGGUGUAGCGGUGAAAUGCGCAGAUAUCAGGAGGAACACCAGUGGCGAAGGCGGUGCUCUGGGCCGGAACUGACGCUGAGGAGCGAAAGCGUGGGGAGCAAACAGG